CUUCAACGCGCCCAGCAGCAGCGGCUGCUCCUCGGCGCGCUCCUGACCAUAGGUGGCCAGCAGCGCCUGAGCCUC
rfam:Streptomyces violaceusniger Tu 4113, complete genome.